CCGAGUUUUUACUCUCAAACCCUGCGAACCUACCGUCAUGUGCUUCGGCGGGCCUCCCCGGGGGGGCUCAGUACGGCUCGCCGAAAGCACCAAAAUUCACUUUUCAGAGUCUUCUGAGUGGAUUACAAAAACAAGUCA
rnacentral:misc_RNA from 1 species